UUCAACACCAAGGAGAAUGGUCCAGCAACAGCUCAGUCCAUGCUUGUCAACCACCCGCCUCCAUACACUCCAGCCCUGGUCCACAGCCCCCAAGGCUCCUUGUGGGAUUCAUCAGCAACACCAAGGCACUGACCGUCACUCUAUGUUCUCCUAGGUUCUGUUGAAGAUCUGCAGGCGUAUGCAUAUGGCAGAAUGGAGUAUAUGAAAUCAGAACUUGUAAGACUUUAUUUCUUUCUCUGGAAGAGAAAUUUUUGUUUUGUUUUGUUUUUUGUUUUUUCUGGGGCUUCUACACUAUAAAGUGAAUAUCAUUUUUGACUGCCAUCAUGGAUGAGGGUUCAGUUGGUCAUGGACUCUAGCGACCGGUCACUAGAGGUUAUGACCAACUGAGUACUGAUUGACGAUGGCAGUCAAAGGACGGCAUCACUUGCAAACUGUUUGGUAGUGAGUGUAUUUCUCAGUAGCAACUUUUCUCCCUGAAAAAUAAUUUUGUAUUUGUCAGCCAAAAUGGACGCUUGCUAAAUAUUCCAAAAAAAACCACACUGCACUGUCCACAAGCAUCCUCUGUGCUUUCUUUCGGGGCCAGUAACCUGAUCACUGUUUUUUGUUUUUUUUUUUCUCUUAUUGCAGAGCGAAUUGGAAGCCAAGUAUCGAUUCUGUUCUGUUGAUCUGCAGGCGUAUGCAUAUGGCAGCAUGGAGUAUAUUAAAUCAGAACUUAGCAAAUUGGAAGCCGAGUCUCGACGCUGUUCUGUUGAAGAUCUGCAGGCGUAUGCAUAUGGCAGCAUGGAGUAUAUGAAAUCAGAACUUGUAAGACUUUAUUUCUUUCUCUGGAAGAGAAAUUUUUUUUUGUUUUGUUUUGUUUUUUGUUUUUUUCUGAGGCUUCUACACUAUCAAGUGAAUAUCAUUUUUGACUGCCAUCAUGGAUCAGGCUUCAGUUGGUCAUGGACUCUAGCGACCGUUCACUAGAGUUUAUGACCAACUGAGGCCUGAUGACGAUGGCAGUCAAAGGACGGCAUCACUUGCAAACUGUUUAGUAGUGAGUGUAUUUCUCAGUAGCAAGUUUUCUCCCUGAAAAAUAAUUUUGUAUUUGUCAGCCAACAUGGACACUUGCUAAAUAUUCCAAAAAAACCCCACUGUACUGUCCACAAGCAUCCUCUGUGCUUUCUUUCGGGGCCAGUAACCUGAUCACUGUUUUUUUUUUUUUUUUUCCUCUUAUUGCAGAGGAAAUUGGAAGCCGAGUAUCGACUCUGUACGUAUUUUUUUUUUAACAGCUUUAUUUAAACAUAGUUGACGUGCAAAACAAUUU
rnacentral:lncRNA from 1 species